CAUCACGCUUUUGCUACUAACCAGUGUCCUUUGUGAAUCAUCAACAGUUAACCCUGUUAUAUGUUGUUCAGUGGAAUUUCCUUAUUAUUAUUUGAAUUAACGUUAUUUUAUAUCUUACUAAUAAAGUUUUGCAUAACCAAGUUAACAUGGACUGUUUUGGUGUGGUUGACUACAUUCUACGUUGGUUACGGGAAACAGAGUUGGAAGCCAAUGUUAGGAUUAAAUGACGGACCAGUGUUGUGGGGGACCGGGGCCGAACUUCCGGCGGGUUCUCGGCAGGUGGCCGGGGCUCAUCACAUCUGUUGUGAUGUAUGAUUUUGUCUGUCAGGAUUGUUCUGUCAUAGUAAAUCUUGUGUAUCAAGUUUUCUAUAUUGUGUGUGAUAUGUAUUUGUAAUAUGAUUUGUGUGUGUUUAUUAAUUUGUGUUUGGUAUAUUAUGUGUGCUAUUUGGUUGUGUCUGUAUAGUAAUCUGUUUGUGCAAGCAGCUUGCAACCCGACAUAAUGUGUUGAAUCAUUUGGGUACUAUGUGGCAUUUCCUACAAGUGUCG
rnacentral:lncRNA from 1 species